rnacentral:rRNA from 1 species
UUGAACGCUGGCGGCAUGCCUUACACAUGCAAGUCGCACGGCAGCACGGGUGCUUGCACCUGGUGGCGAGUGGCGAACGGGUGAGUAAUACAUCGGAACAUGUCCUGUAGUGGGGGAUAGCCCGGCGAAAGCCGGAUUAAUACCGCAUACGAUCUACGGAUGAAAGCGGGGGACCUUCGGGCCUCGCGCUAUAGGGUUGGCCGAUGGCUGAUUAGCUAGUUGGUGGGGUAAAGGCCUACCAAGGCGACGAUCAGUAGCUGGUCUGAGAGGACGACCAGCCACACUGGGACUGAGACACGGCCCAGACUCCUACGGGAGGCAGCAGUGGGGAAUUUUGGACAAUGGGCGAAAGCCUGAUCCAGCAAUGCCGCGUGUGUGAAGAAGGCCUUCGGGUUGUAAAGCACUUUUGUCCGGAAAGAAAUCCUUGGCCCUAAUACGGUCGGGGGAUGACGGUACCGGAAGAAUAAGCACCGGCUAACUACGU